UACGGAGGGUGCGAGCGUUAUCCGGAAUCACUGGGCGUAAAGGGCGCGUAGGCGGUUUGUCAAGUCCGAUGUUAAAGCGUGAGGCUCAACCUCAUCACGGCGUUGGAUACUAGCAAGCUUGACGGUUGGAGAGGAAGGUAGAAUUACCAGUGUAGCGGUGGAAUGCGUAGAUACUGGUAGGAAUACCCAUUGCGAAGGCAGCCUUCUGGACAACACGUGACGCUGAGGCGCGAAAGUGUGGGGAGCAAACCGG
rnacentral:rRNA from 2 species